CACGGUAAACGAUGGAUGCCCGCUGUUGGGCCUUUUGGGUUCAGCGGCCAAGAGAAAUCGUUAAGCAUCCCACCUGGGGAGUACGCCGGCAACGGUGAAACUCAAAGGAAUUGACGGGGGCCCGCACAAGCGGAGGAACAUGUGGUUUAAUUCGAUGAUACGCGAGGAACCUUACCCGGGCUUGAACUGCAGCGGAAUGCGGAAGAGAUUCCAAAGCCAGCAAUGGCCGCUGUGGAGGUGCUGCAUGGUUGUCGUCAGCUCGUGCCGUGAGGUGUCGGCUUAAGUGCCAUAACGAGCGCAACCCCUUCCGCCAGUUGCCAGCAUGUAAUGGUGGGCACUCUGGCGGCACUGCCACCGCAAGGUGCGAGGAAGGUGGGGAUGACGUCAAAUCAGCACGGCCCUUACGUCCGGGGCUACACACGUGUUACAAUGGCCGGCACAGAGGGCAGGUUGCACGCAAGUGUAAUCGAAUCUUUAAAUCCGGUCCCAGUUCGGACUGGGGUCUGCAACCCGACC
rnacentral:rRNA from 1 species